AUUGAACGCUGGAGGCAGGCUUAACACAUGCAAGUCGAGCGAGCGGCGGACGGGUGAGUAAUGUAUGGGGAACUGCCUGAUGGAGGGGGAUAACUAAUGGAAACGGUAGCUAAUACCGCAUACCAUCAGAUGUGCCCAGAUGGGAUUAGCUAGUAGGUGGGGUAAUGGAUCACCUAGGAAACGAUCCCUAGCUGGUCUGGGAGGAAGACCACCCACACUCGACCUGAGAUACGGUCCAGACUCCUACGGGAGGCAGCAGUGGGGAAUAUUGCACAAUGGGCGCAAGCCUGAUGCAGCCAUGCCGCGUGUGUGAAGAAGGCCUUCGGGUUGUAAAGCACGUUCAGCGAGGAGGCGUUACUCGCAGAAUAAGCACCGGCUAACUCCGUGCCAGCAGCCGCGGUAAUAC
rnacentral:rRNA from 1 species